AUUGAACGCUGGCGGCAUGCUUUACACAUGCAAGUCGAACGGUAACAGGUUAAGCUGACGAGUGGCGAACGGGUGAGUAAUGCAUCGGAACGUGCCCGAUCGUGGGGGAUAACGCAGCGAAAGCUGCGCUAAUACCGCAUACGAUCUGAGGGUGAAAGCGGGGACCGUAAGGCCUCGCGCGAUCGGAGCGGCCGAUGUCAGAUUAGGUAGUUGGUGGGGUAAAGGCGCACCAAGCCAACGAUCUGUAGCUGGUCUGAGAGGACGACCAGCCACACUGGGACUGAGACAAGGCCCAGACUCCGACGGGAGGCAGCAGUGGGGAAUUUUGGACAAUGGGCGAAAGCCUGAUCCAGCAAUGCCGCGUGCAGGAAGAAGGCCUUCGGGUUGUAAACUGCUUUUGUACGGAGCGAAAAGGCUCUCUCUAAUACAGGGGGCUCAUGACGGUACCGUAAGAAUAAGCACCGGCUAACUACGUGCCAGCCGCCGCCGUAA
rnacentral:rRNA from 1 species